rnacentral:rRNA from 1 species
AGAGUUUGAUCCUGGCUCAGGACGAACGCUGGCGGCGUGCUUUAUACAUGCAAGUCGAACGAUGAAGUUCCUUCGGGAAUGGAUUAGUGGCGAACGGGUGAGGAACACGUGAGAAACCUGCCUUUCAUUCUGGGAUAACACCGGGAAACCGGUGCUAAUACCGGAUACUCCGUCUUGGCGGCAUCGCCGAGCCGGGAAAAAAUUUUGAUGAAAGAUGGUCUCGCGGCCUAUCAGCUAGUUGGUGAGGUAAUGGCUCACCAAGGCGACGACGGGUAGCCGGCCUGAGAGGGCGACCGGCCACACUGGGACUGAGACACGGCCCAGACUCCUACGGGAGGCAGCAGUAGGGAAUAUUGGGCAAUGGGCGCAAGCCUGACCCAGCGACGCCGCGUGAGGGAUGAAGGUCUUCGGAUUGUAAACCUCUUUCAGUAGGGAAGAAGCGAAAGUGACGGUACCUAAAGAAGAAGCACCGGCUAACUAUGUGCCAGCAGCCGCGGUAAUACAUAGGGUGCAAGCGUUGUCCGGAAUUAUUGGGCGUAAAGAGCUCGUAGGUCGUUUGUCGCGUCGAUUGUGAAAAUCUGAGGCUCAACCUCAGACCUGCAGUCGAUACGGGCAAACUAGAGUGUGGUAGGGGAGACUGGAAUUCCUGGUGUAGCGGUGGAAUGCGCAGAUAUCAGGAGGAACACCAAUGGCGAAGGCAGGUCUCUGGGCCAUAACUGACACUGAGGAGCGAAAGUGCGGGGAGCGAACAGGAUUAGAUACCCUGGUAGUCCGCACCGUAAACGGUGGGCACUAGUUGUGGGAACCUUCCACGGUUUCCGCGACGCAGCAAACGCAUUAAGUGCCCCGCCUGGGGAGUACGAUCGCAAGAUUAAAACUCAAAGGAAUUGACGGGGCCCCGCACAAGCAGCGGAGCAUGCGGCUUAAUUCGACGCAACGCGAAGAACCUUACCAAGG